AACCAGGCUAAACUAAUAAACGGUCAUAAAAUUAAUGGACUGACUUUUUUCCAAACAAAAAUGACAUCUGUCCCUUUAUAAUAUUAACCCCUUACACUUAAGGGAUUUUUAAUGAUUUUGUUUAAGUGACAUAUGCUUAAAAUUAAAGCAGCUCUUUUGUUGUGCGUUUCUAUUACCGUUAAAAGUAGACCUGUCAAUCAAAGACCCAGUUUAGCACAAGCGCGCAACCACUAGACAGUCAGACAAAGAAGUGGUUAUGUAGUGUAAAGUGAUAGUAAGUGAAGACACACAGCUAUUCAUAAAAUAGAGCCUUAACCUUUGUUAGUUAAACAACAUAGAAUGGUCUUUUCUGUUUUUUCAGUGAAUUUUUGUAAGUGAUCGAUCUAGAAGUCAUCAUACAGUUCUGAUUUGCCAUGUUCUUAACAUACUGUUUUAGUCAAUAAAGAUAAAUUGAGUGCACAUUAAUUCACAAAGGCAUUUGCAAUAUAUUUGACUCCUUUUCAUGUUUCUUCUUUUUCUCAACAGGAGCUACAUACACCCCAAAGGCUCUUUUCAGAGCCCAGGCCCAUUUUACACAGCGUCUUUGCCUUUGUACAGUGUGACUCCCCUUCUGUCCGGCAUUACGGCUGCAGUGUACUUGGCGCGUCAGCACACACGACGGCUGGAACUACAGCAUGGUCUCCCCAGUGGACCAGCACGACAACCGUCUGGAUUGAGCCGAGUAGGGGACAUCUCUAGGGUCUUCACAUAUUGAUACACACACCAUUGCGACUUAGAUCACCAUCACCACCAUCAUCCCCUGCAUC